GCCCCGAUAGGGUAGUCCGGAUAUCCUUUGAGAUUGCGGAUCUUAAGACCUGGGUUCAAAUCCCAGUCGGGGCG
rnacentral:tRNA from 1 species